CCCUACUCGAGUGACAGAGGAGACUGGGCCCACAUUGGAUAUGUUAGGACAUCUCUUGGUGGCUUCCUUGGUCCAGGCAAGGAACGAGAGCAGUUGAAAAUCAUAGCAGUAAUAUUUGCAAACUUACUCUAGAAAAAUAUUAAACAACACAUUCUGAAUGUUUUCUUCUUGCCCUACAUGUUAAAAAAUGACCAGAGGAAAAAGGGAGAACUCAUCCCCACGUUAUUAUAAUUGGGAUGUUGUUUUUAUUAUAAUUAUUAUGAUUUUGAUUAUUUCGUGUACAUU
rnacentral:lncRNA from 1 species